UACGAAGGGGGCUAGCGUUGCUCGGAAUCACUGGGCGUAAAGCGCACGUAGGCGGAUUGUUAAGUCAGGGGUGAAAUCCUGGAGCUCAACUCCAGAACUGCCUUUGAUACUGGCGAUCUCGAGUCCGGGAGAGGUGAGUGGAACUCCGAGUGUAGAGGUGAAAUUCGUAGAUAUUCGGAAGGAACACCUGUGGCGAAAGCGGCUCACUGGACCAUUACUGACGCUGAGGCACGAAAGCUAGGGGAGCAAACAGG
rnacentral:rRNA from 1 species